rnacentral:lncRNA from 1 species
AUUAUAAAACUUUCAUGCACCUUUUCCUUAAAAAAAGUCUUAAUGUCCUUACUGUUUAUGACAGGCUUUGAAGUUCAGGGGGAGAGGGCCUUUGGGCUAGAGAUGUGUCUUCUCUUGCUCCCAUGAAAUUCUAAAGAAGUUUAGCAGAGAUAUAAGCUGCUAGAAAUCACCAUUUCCUGCCUCAUACUUAUGUACUUCAGAUAAAUGUUGAGAGCCUGCACAUAAGUGCACAUAAACAUUUUGAAUAGCUGAGGUUCAGAAAUACCACCAAAGGAAAAACAGCAGCAGCAGCCUGGAAACCACAGGCAGACAGCCUCAGGAAGAUAACUAGAAACAGACCAGCUCAGCAAAAUCUUUUUCUGCCCCUCAGAAGACCAACUAAAGGAUUCAGCAUUGGUCCUAGCAGUUCAUUUCCUUCCAUUGGGCUCACUGCAGGACUUUUACAUGUCUGCUUUCAUGGCAGCUGGACUUGUAGAGAAGAGGUGAAAAUGUUCCUACACAGGAUGCCUGCAACAACUGAUUAGGAAGAUACUGCCCUCAGGCAUGGGCGAUCACCUCCCAGCAGAGCAGAAGCCAGACAAAAGGCUUCCCCCUUCCUGAGUGACUGCUCUACACUGGUCUGUUUGGUAAGGGGAACUCUGAAGGAGAGGGUGACAGAAAAGUUUCUUUCUACGUACUUUCUUCAGAGCAUUGCACUAUUCCUUUCAGUGCUGACAUUCCAAGAAACUGGAGAAAAAGAGCUUGGCCUGUUUACCUUGAAGUUUGGCUCUUUGUUAGUUCCUCUAUGGAUGGACACCAUAUGGAAAGCACAGAGGAGAUGAUCAGUUGCCCAAGGCCGCUCAGUGGGAUUUCCUCACCUCCAGAAGCUCCACGUAGAACUGAAGUCAGCAG